rnacentral:pre_miRNA from 1 species
CAUGUACUCCCUCCAUUCGGAAUUACUUGUCUCGAAAAUGGAUGUAUCUAGAACUAAAAUACAUCUAGAUACAUCCAUUUCUGCGACAAGUAAUUCCGAACGGAGGGAGUAAUAG